UUUCUGUCAUUUACAUUUGUAAACGGGUGCCGCUGUUCUUAAAACCACAUCGUCACCAAUGGCAAAAUGCUUUUCUCCGACAAUCUACUCAACUAGUCGUUAGUUUUCUUCAGAAUCAGAAAAUCUCACGAGUACCGAAGGAUCAAUCAGCAUUUCAUCAUCCACCAAACCAGUAACACUGAAAAAGCCCUAACUUUUACGCGUUUCGUUUCGUGAUCAACGUUUCGAUUUCCUCGAUCUCUACCCAUGGACGAACCGGACAAGACCCUUUCUCGGUGGCUUCUCGAGUUCCUCCUCCGAAACUCCGACGACGAGCCGUUCGCCAAGAGAGCCCUCGCUGUUCUCCCCAUUCCGGACGACGACCCUCGCCUUAAGAAGACCGUGCUUCUCCGUACCAUCGAAUACGAGGUUUCGGAGGGUCUGGUCACUUCAACCGCUCUCGAAAACCUCGAAUUGAUCGAGGAAUUGGAUUCCCGGCGAGGCUCCGCCGCCGCCGCCGCGGGGGACUCCAUGAAAGCGGCGUACUGCGCGGUGGCGCUGGAUUGCACGGUCAGAGUCCUGGUCGGCAAUGGAGGCAAGCCGGGAGGAAAGUUCCUGAACGCCGUGAAGAGAAUCUGGAGAGGGAGAGUCGGCCGAAUGGAGAAGUCGGCGGCUGCGCGGGAGAGCCGGCUCCUCUCGAGCGAUUUGCGGCGGUGCUGGGAUGAGGUCGAGGCGGCGAUUUGGGACGAGGGCGUGUGUAGGAAGCUGAUGAGAAUCAACACCAGGAAAGACGCUCUGAUGCUGCUCGGAGCUUAUCUGAAGGAGGCGUGGGCGUUGAUGGGCCCGUCGUUCGUGGCUUGGGCAGCUAGGUUGAGCGCCAAACAGAGAUUUAGAGAGGAUGGUAAUGGUGAAGAAUCUCGUGGCCGGGGGUGGAGUUUGAACGGUCUGAUUGAGUUGAGGGCUGAGUUAAGGGACGAGGUGGGUUUGCGAGAAUUGGCGAAUGAUCGGGUUCGAGAGAACGUUGUUGGUGAUGGUGUUGUUUUGCCUGAUUCUGAUGGUUUGAUUGUCAUUGAUGAACCUGAAAGCACUGCCAAAGCUGUUGAUGAUGGUGUUACUUUGCUUGGUAAUAAUACUGAUUUAGCCAUCACGAAUGGACCUGCCACCACAGAUAAAGAAGUUCCAAGAGAAAAAGUGGUGCUUAGAAGCAAGCACGUUGGUUUCCAAAAACGGAUUAGAGGACCUGUUAGGAUUAGUGACGUUGAGGAUUUGGAAACAGAUGCAUCUCCCCGCAGAUUCAAUUCCAUCCCAACUCCUGAAGUUAAUGAAGCACAUGAAGCGCUUAAAUCCAGUUCUUUGGACCUACAAGCAGCCGUGACAGACCCACUUCCGGAGGCAGUACGCGAGGCCGAAACUGUUGUUUCUGACUUGACCACAAAAAAUGUGAUCCAUGAGCAUCCCUUGGAAAAUCAGAGGAGAACAGAGGCAGAUGCAGCCAAUCCAUCAAUUCACACGUGCACUGAGCCUGUGCAAUCUUGUGAUGUCAAUCUUGGGAACCCUUCUUCCAGUUAUCCGAAUAAUGUCCCUCGACCCAGCUUGAUGGAACGUAAUAAUACUGCCCACACGUAUGAGUGGGAUGAUUCAAUUGAUGACUCACCUGAAGCAAUGGUGAAUUGCAAGGACAGACUCCACCUACCUAGCCCAAAGAAAAGGGCUCUUUCUCCGUUGAAGAAGUAUGAACCUACAAAACUUUGUAAGAGGAGAAAAGUUAAGAGGUGGACGUUAUUGGAAGAAGACACUUUACGGGACGGUGUACAGAAGUACGGCAAGGGAAAUUGGAAGCUAAUUUUGAAGUUGUACAGUGACAUAUUUGAAGAAAGAACAGAGGUCGAUUUGAAGGACAAAUGGAGAAACAUGACACGAUAGUUACAUAUCUGACACUCUUGUAUGUGUAAAGAUAUCGGUAGUUUUUAGACUCAGGUUGCAGGCUCCGGCUUAGGAGCUGGGGUAAAUCCAGGUCCAGAAGAGGAGUUCAGCGCUUCCACCGCCUUUGAUAGAAGGAAGAAUCUUUUUUCAUUGCGAAUAGCACAAAAUCCAGCCAUGAAAAAAAAAGUCAACGAACAGAAAUGAAACGAAAGCAUGUCCUCAACAAGGUGAGACAAAGCUCAAAAACGUUGGGGACUUUUAAGUAAACAGCGUUCUGAUGAUGUACUCAUUUUCUUUCUUUUCCUUUUCUUCUCGUUUGCUUCUGACCACCAUUAGACUGACUUUGAAUCCUGACAUAUGAAAAGAAAAAUGACGGGGAUUUGUGGAAUGAGAAAUCUGAGUGCUUAAGGACGAAUCUCUUCUCACUCACCAACCAUUGUAAUACUGUAUUUGGUAGAGUAGAAAUUAGAGGAAUGAUUUUAAAGAGGAUAAUGGAAUUUCGGGUUGUUUGAAAGAGGUGAAAUAAAGAAGGAAGAUAGAAAUUCUUGAG